CCUACGGGUGGCAGCAGUGAGGAAUAUUGGUCAAUGGGCGAGAGCCUGAACCAGUCAAGUCGCGUGAGGGAGUACUGCCCUAUGGGUUGUAAACCUCUUUUGUCGGGGAGCAAAAGCCGGACGUGUCCGGCUGUGAGAGUACCCGAAGAAAAAGCAUCGGCCAACUCCGUGCCGGCAGCCGCGGUAAUACGGAGGAUGCGAGCGUUAUCCGGAUUUAUUGGGGUAAAGGGGUGCGCAGGCGGAUUUUUAAGUCAGCGGUAAAAUCGUGGGGCUCAACCCCAUCCAGCCGUUGAAACUGGGGAUCUAGAGUGUGCGAGAGGUAUGCGGAAUGCGUGGUGUAGCGGUGAAAUGCAUAGAUAUCACGCAGAACCCCGAUUGCGAAGGCAGCAUACCGGUGCACAACUGACGCUCAGGCACGAAAGCGUGGGUAUCGAACAGGAUUAGAUACCCUGGUAGUC
rnacentral:rRNA from 1 species